rnacentral:rRNA from 1 species
UGGCGGACGGGUGAGUAAUGUCUGGGAAACUGCCUGAUGGAGGGGGAUAACUACUGGAAACGGUAGCUAAUACCGCAUAACGUCGCAAGACCAAAGAGGGGGACCUUCGGGCCUCUUGCCAUCGGAUGUGCCCAGAUGGGAUUAGCUAGUAGGUGGGGUAACGGCUCACCUAGGCGACGAUCCCUAGCUGGUCUGAGAGGAUGACCAGCCACACUGGAACUGAGACACGGUCCAGACUCUACGGGAGGCAGCAUG